AUAGUUUAAUUUCCAGCUAAGAUGAGAGUUAACCGAGACAUAUAUGGUGGAUAAAAAGCUCUUAAAAAUAUGGGUGUUCCGAGGAAAGUAUACCACUAGGGAAUGUGGGUUACAUUAGUAAUGGAGGAAUAUUUUGAGAGCAGACGAAACUAAAGUGUUGCCAUGGUGACGGUGGUGGUGGGCAUGAUACAGAUGCGGGAAGUGGAGUUUGUGCCCGAUGGAGACAUGCAGCUGGACAAAUUGUGUUGCUCAUUGGUCAGACUGGAGUUUACAUGUGUACCUCCUUCACCAUCAUUGGUGGACACUUCACCAUGAGUGAUGCUUGAGCUGUCACGGUGCUGCUGCUGUUGUCUGCCAUCAUCCCCCUGACACAGACCACCCUGCAGACCACCUUCAUCCUGGGUGCCACACGUCACUGCUGCUACAACUCAGAGCAACUGGAGCGCAAGCCAGGAAGGGAGAUGGUUACCUUCUUGUUGAUGUGCAAUCUUGCUACGUGGGCGAUCAACAUUUAAAAAUAGCAAUGUGGUGCUUCCUUAAUGCAAAUAGUCUUGGCCCAAAAAACUUGUGAUGUCAAACACUAACUUCUCUUAAAUCUUACUAAAAUGUAUGCGCAUCACUUUCUGAUUUCAUCCCAAUGGCACACAAACCAAAAUACCUGAGUAUGGAGAUGGCUGGACUACCUCCUUUGGCCACCCCUGUUAUAUCUUAAUUUCCCACUGUCUUUCCUGUGUGCUGGUUAAGCUACUCACUGCUAAAGUCCCUGGAAACUAGGUAGAAUAAUUUAGAAUGACAUGGUUAAGUUAAUGCUGAUAAAAUCUCAUUUGUAAUAUUCAGGAAGAUUGAAUUAUUCUUCCUCUGUUGAAGCAAAUGAUAUAACAUUGACUAGAAGCUUUCACAAUAUUUAUAAGCUUUCUUGUAUCAGAGAUCUUUUGAAAAUCCAACCAUUAAUUUGUAAAUACUUGUAUAGUGUAGCUGGCAUGAGGGUUGCAGUCUUCAUUAUUUACUAGUGGACAAGCAACAAGUGAUGGUGUGGCUCUGAGCCACUGUAGUAGGGAUGUUAUGGUUUAAGUGUAGGAAGUUGCAAAUGCUCACCUAACAAUUGCACCUUAGUAGAAAAACACAAACAGGAAGUUUAUGCAAGUUUUUAUCCUUAUAUAAAAUGUUGUAUUGCAUCAAACCUCCAUACAUUACUGUCUCUAUCCAGUAUGAGACCGGUGUUCAGGAAGCACAAGCAUGUGCUGAAUAACAAGAAGCCGGCAUUGGUGAAGGUGACAACAUUUCAUCUAUUUAUACAUACUUUUUAUUAUUAAAGCUUAUCUUAUAAUUAUUUCUGAAGAGAUUGACUAAUUUUUGUAGUAUUUAUGACUUAGAACUAUGAUAAAGCUAUGAAUUGAUAUAAUUCCUGAUUUGUUUUAUCUUUUCAUUAUCCUUCCUUUGUUAAUUGAGCAUUUUAUAUUACUUAGCUUAAAAAUGCAAGAACGGUUCAGAAGUAUCCAACCUUGGGCUAAGGGCCAAAAUUAUGGUAUCAUUCAAAAUGUCCUUCAAAGAAAAGCCCUCUGUAAUCCAACACACUUAGCCCAUUAAUCCUUCCAUUUCUCAUCAAUUUGUUCAACAUUCAUAUUUUUCCCUUAUAGGGUUGAACAAUUUUCAUGGGUUCUCAGAGCAAAAGGCUUCCUCAUUCCUCCCCAAGGUAUUCUCGGAUGGUAAGCAGGUUUGACUCUGGAGCAAACCUGACCAAGGGCUACUGCCCAAGGCUACAGAGGUUCCUCUCCCUGAGGCUGAAUGCACCAUGUGAGAUGGUUCUGUUAUGUGGAUGAAUGUCAUGGUGGAUAGCAGUGCCACCACAUUCCUACAAUCAUCCAUCACUCCACUGCUCAAACGCUUCUGCAACCAAUGAUAGGUAUGCUGCCACAUUCUGCAUGGUCUCCUUGGCUCUCAGAUAAGGAUACUGUCAACAGGUUUGGGAUUGCCAAAAAAUCAUAAGGAGCUAUGUCUGAAAAGUCCAGAGAGAGAGAGAGAGAGAAAGAAUGAGCAAGAGAAAGAGUAGGAUGAAGCAAAGGAAGAGUCAAGAGGGAGGAAGAGAGAGUAGGACAAGAAAAAACAGAACAAAUAAAUCCCCUACACGUCUUGUCUCCAUUCACACAAGCCAUGAAAAGCUUGUCCAUCCCUGAGUGCUCAGAAGCAGUGUUCCACUGAUGAUGUGGAAACUUGAGACACCCAAUCAUUUAAUGGGCUUUAGUAGGUUUUGUCACCAGUCUUCUGUGUGUCACUGACUACAUUUUGAAAUUUUUAUCUGUUCUAUUUAAUUUUGUGUGUAUGUACACAAUGUUUAUGGUCAAUAAACUAUUUAUAAAACUAUUUAUCUGUGUGAGUAAGAUAAAAGCAGUUAUUGUUAUUAUUAUUAUUAUUAUUAUUAUUAUUAUUAUUAUUAUUAUUAUUAUUAUUAUUAUUAUUACACAUUUUCCUCCUUGUAUUUAAAUAUUAUUAUUAUUAUUAUUAUUAUUAUUAUCAUGAAUUGUUCUUGUUUAUAAAUAAAAUACUGUAACUGA